GACGCGUGCGAACGGCACCACCGGACGAGGGAUCAGUACCCGGACUGCGACAAGACUGGCCGAU
rnacentral:ncRNA from 1 species